CGCGCAAUCGGGUUCCGGCCGCGCAAUCGGGUUCCGGCCCUACCAACGGCCUGCGCUUGCGCAGGGCGGCCCCGCGCCGGGCUCCCCGCGGAGAGGCAUCCCCCCCACCCCCCCACCCCCACGCUGGCCACGCGGUGGAGGGACGCUGUGGAGAAGCCGGGAGGGAAGCGCAAACGCGCGUGUCGCCCAGGACAGCGAGACAGCGGUCAGCGGUCGGUGGGCUCGGAUUGGACAUUCCCAGCGCCUCGCUGGUCCCACGGAAAUGGAGAAAUAGCUUCGGGAAGGAAGUCUGAGAUCGGAGGGACAGCCGGUUUGGUUUCUUCUGAGGCCUCUCUCCUUGGCUUGCAGACAGCUGCCUUCCUCCUGUGUCUUUCCUCUGUACAGGUGCAUCCCUGGUGUCUCUCUGAGUCCCAUUUUCCUUUUCUUAUAAGGUCAUUGGAGGAUGGCCCACCCUAAUGGCCUGAUUUUAAGUUGAUUACCUCUUUAAAGGCCCUACUUCUAAGUCUCAUUCUGAGGUGCUGGGGUUGGAACUUCAAUAUAUAAAUUUGGGGGGAUGCAGUUCGGCCCAUAACAGUAGUGGUAACUAUGAUUUCAUCCGAAGGCUACUGUAUAUCAGAACAAGGCUGAGAUGGGGCCUGAAAGGUGAUGACCGUCUCUCAGAGAGCCUGGCUUUGGAGCCUGAUUGCGGUAACUGAUGAGGCUGGGAGUGUCCCCUUUGAGGAAGAGACAGUUUGGCUGCACAAGGCCUGACCUCCAGCUCCCGUCCUUGCCCUGACCUUCUGCCUGCAGCACAGCAGCCUGAGUGGUCCUUUUAAAGCAUGAGUCAGGUUGGGAUGCACAUUACUCAACACCUGUCAUCUCCCCAUCUCACUUGGAGCAAAAUUCGAACUGCCAUCCUUCUUCAAACUUUCCAGGCUUGCUCCCACCUAAGGUACUUUACAGGGCCUGAAACGCUCUUCCUGCACACAUCAGCCUAGCGUUGACACAGAACAGGACCCUAUGGUCUAUGCCCCCCAUGUCUUCCGCCUGCCUUUUGUGUGUGGAAAAACUUUAGCCAAAAAAUAAGUUUAAUCAGAGAAAUGAGAAAAUACAAAAUCAAAGGAAAAUAGUCAAAGGGGACAAAAAAAUAAUAGUUCAAGUCAGUAAGCAAAGUCAAGGACCUUUAGUUCCUCCUCAAGGGCUAUAGAUAGUAUUCUGAGCCGUGUCCUGUGAGCUGUUUUAUAGAUACUGAAACCCCCACCAGGUGGAAGAAGUUAACUACAUGAUGUCCAGACUGUAGCCAUGACAGAAGCUGCCACAAUUCUGAGAAUUGGCCUCAUGGAAAUGGGAACAAACUGACCCUGGAACUGAAGAUUAACUGUACUUAAAACAAUCGAGAUGAUGCUGGUCAGACCACCGAUGACCAAUUUCAAGAUGACCAUCAGAGCUGACUGUGCUGUCUCUGCAUGUAGCCCCCUCUCUCCGUCUAUAAAAGCUCUUGCCCACUGGUUGUCGGUGGAGGGGAGUCGGCCUUUGGACAGGAGUCUGCCCUUCCCCUUCCCUAGACCCCACAAUUGGCAGCCUCAGAAAUAAAGCAAACUUUCCUUUCCACCA